GUCAAGCAGAGGAAAUACCUGGACAUGCGAGUUCAGUGAAGGGUAGCUUUGUGAAGGCCAAAAACCAAUUACCCUUUCUGCCUUUUCUACCCCAAUAUGGAUGGCUAAAGGGAAAAUGUAUUCUUACCCAACAAUGGCAAGCUUGUUCUUCACUCUAAUCUACAUUUGCAUUCUCUCUAUCUAGAAAGGCAACUGAAUUUUCUCUAUUUUAUUAAUUAUGCUUAGGUUGGAAUAA
rnacentral:misc_RNA from 1 species